ensembl:lncRNA
UUGAGACUAUAAGUGCCAGUUGAUGAGAAAAAGCAGAUGCACUAAAUUGAGGAACUUGAAGUUAUUCUGCUCCAUGAAUCCCUGCACUUCUGCUUCGCUGCUUGCGAAAUCUACCCAAAAUUCAGCAACACUUUUUUAAUGCUUUUGUCUUUUUAUUGUGCAGUGACCACGUUGACUGAGAAAUUCGAAGAGUCAACAGCCCUGAAGGGAUUUGUGGUCCUGGAUGGAAUCAUGUGUCUCCCUCAGUGUCAAGGCAUGGGUGUCCAUUACAUCUCAGAAGAAGUCAGGAUGCUGAAUGCAAGGCUCGCAGUCACACGGCCUCACACUAAUUUUUUAUUUAUAAGCACUGCUCAAAGUAAUGAGAUGCUCUUGUGUCCUGUUGCUUGCUCUGCGUUACAAUACUGGCAUCUAUUAAGAGGCAUGUUUCGUAACUGUUAGUUGUAAGAAACAUCAUGUUUCCAGUUAUUUCUAGGAAAGCCGUCCUGAGGCAUUUAUAUUCAACAUUUCAGCUUUCAAUUGUGAAUGUUAAUAGAUUUUAACAUCUAAUAAUCAUAUGAAGGUAGAAAUGUGUAUCAAAGUUUGAUAUGGCUCCUCUCUUCAGCAAUGCAACCUGCUUGGGCCCUUUCUCCAAAGAAUGUUAGGGCUACAAUACAUGAACACCUUGUAAGUCCACCUGCUUCUCUGUGGACAGGAGUUGGAGCCAGAGGCACUGCAUGCUAGCAUUUUCAAAAUCAAAAUAUAUGAGCAAGAUUACACUAUGAAAAUGAGUGACCAAUUACUGGAUUGAGAUUUUUGAAAUUGAGUUAUAGUCAUGUGGUAGUCACACGUUAUUUGAGUCAGUGUGUUGUCCUCUUGGGAAAACUUUCAAUAUGUUUUAUGCAAUGUUCUGUAUCAGUUGAUGGGCACCCGUCCGCACUCGUGCUGUCUACCCACCCCUGCUGCUGUGAUGUUAUUUUUAAUGUUCUAAUUUUACAUUUUUUUAUUUCUUUCAAACUGGCAUAUCACUCUGUCAGAUAGAGGCUCCUUGCCUUAAAACUUCUGAGUGAGGAUAGGCGGGAGGAGGGAGGAACAACGAAGUGACAGCCAGCACUAUUAAGAGGGAAGGCAAGAGAAAUUAACCAGAGACAGUGACAAAGCCCAUUAGCUUCUAGGCUUGUAAAGGAUGGAGCACUUCCCCCCUCCCAGCGCUGAGUGGAUUUUCUUUCUUUCUUUCAGACUGGCAUAUCACUAUAUCAGACAGAGGCUCCUUGCCUGAAAACUUCUGAGUGAGGAAGCUAAUGAACAGAUGGGAGGCUUGCAAGGGAGGGAGUAUUUUCCUCUUCACACUGGCUUCCAGGGUUUUAAAAAAAAUUUCUUUCAAACUGGCAUAUAGCUAUACCAGCAGUACAGACAGAAAAGAAGAGAUUAGACUGUAAUUUUUUUCUUCCAGCCUGAAACCAGUGAUCCUGGCACCCAUUACUUGACAAACUCCACAGACGCCAUUUAUAACAACAAAGGCAUUCACAAAUGCCAAAACCAUUCAAAAUAAACUGAUUUUACAAGCAUGUUAAAAUAAAUGA